rnacentral:rRNA from 1 species
GACAUGCAAGUGGUAGGAACCCGAAAGGCGACCGACCUUCGGGAGCUUGCACAGGUGCUGCAUGGCUGUCGUCAGCUCGUGUCGUGAGAUGUUCGGUUAAGUCCGCUAACGAGCGCAACCCUCGCUGUGUGUUACAAGUGUCACACGGUACUGCCGGUCUUAAGCCGGAGGAAGGUGGGGAUGACGUCAAGUCAGCAUGGCCUUUAUGUCCUGGGCUACACACACGCUACAAUGGCCAACACAAUAGGUUGCUAAGCCGCGAGGUGGAGCCAAUCCUCAAAGUUGGUCUCAGUUCAGAUUGCAGGCUGCAACCCGCCUGCAUGAAGAUGGAGUUGCUAGUAACCGCAGGUCAGCUAUACUGCGGUGAAUACGUUCCCGGGGCUU